rnacentral:lncRNA from 1 species
CCCACCCGGACUACCACCCCCCUCCCACGCCCACCUACGGCGGCGGUGGCGGCGGCGGUGGAUACCACAGGCACCACUGAGUCAGGUCUACCCCCGUCCUGCCCAGCGAUGAAAUCUCAUCAUCAGCGGGUUGGUGAUCAGUGAGUGGUCGACGGUGCUAAUUAUGAUUGGUUUGCAUGCGUGAGUAUCGUUAGGUCUUCUGCCAUUCCCGCGAAGCCCCGUUUAUUAUCUGCACUGCAGAGUUGGGAGUUCAGAAUAACAGAUGUGCGUGUGUGUGUCGCUGUGUCAGGCAAGUGUGAGGGUGUGUUGGCGUGUUGCUUUAUCAAGAUUUUGUAAUUUCAGUGUGUGUUUUGUAUAAGAAGUUAUUAUGAAUCAAGUAAUUUAAACAAGUCGAUUUGUCAACCGAACAACUGCAGCUGUUCGAGACGAUUGGCAUGAUAAGGAUAGUGUGAUUUUACUUCAACUCAAUUUUCAGAUCCGUGAACUGAAACUGAAGUGAAAUUCAGGCGUGUGCAAUGCAUUCAUACUGCUGGUCAUAGUUUUUUCUCUUACGAUGAACAAGUCGAUUUAUGAACAUUUUUCCUAGAUAAGUGAGGCUUUUAAAAAAUGUUCAUCAUGUGUUCAAAACAAUGAUAACCGUAAAUUUAAAGCAAAAUUGUUCGCCGUGUAUCUUAAAAAUGUUCAUCAUGAAUUUAAAAGGUUUGCCACUAAUUUUAAAAAGUUCAUCAUGUAUUUAUAUCACUAAUUUAGUUAUCUAAACGCUCUUAUAUUAGUUUACAGAGGGAGUAUUUAAAAGUUGUCAUCACGUAAUUAAAAAAAGGUUAAUUGUGCAUUAAUGAAAAUUUUCACCAUGUUUCAGAAAUGUUCAUCAUGUAUUAAUAAACUUAACCUUGUAUUUUUAAAAGUAAAAAAAUGCUCAUUGUGUAUUUAAAACAUAUAAAGAUAUUUUUUUGUAAAUGAACUAAAAAUAUUCAUUCUGUAUUAAAAAAAUAUUCACCAUGAAUUGUUCAAAAAAAUCACCUUGUAUUAUUCAAAAACGCUCAGACACAAAGGACAAAUGCUCAUACACGGUGUGGGGAAAAGGAGAAAAUGCAUAGAGUAAAAGAACAACAAAAGAGGAAAAAUGGACAAUGAAAAAAAAAAGGAAAGAAUGAAGAAUCCAACUAAGAAAAAAAACAGUUCAGAAGCCAAACACAAAAACCAUGCAAAAAGACGCAGCAGGAACCAGCGAACGAAACAACACCCCUAGCUGGCCUGCCCAAGUCACCUUGCUUGUGACUGUCUUCGCAUCCAUUUGACGUGUGUGCGUAUUUGCCGGAGACCUCCUAUUCCCUGACCUACGCGGGGAAAAGUGAGGAAACAUGCACCUAAACCUGUGGGUAGCCCGACCCGAGCCUGGCCCGAAAAAUCCAGGCCACGCUGGGGCCUUGUUUUGCAGCCCAAUGUACAUUUCGCCUAGGCUCGGGCUUUUGUAACAAUACUGAGAAAUAGUAUUUGGUCGGGCUUUCAAUAUUCAGGUCGGGCUUACAACUAACAACAUUGAUAAACACCAUUCGAGCUAGACUUUCGGGCUUCGGGCCUAUAUUUGGCUGAGGCUCGAGCUUGAGAAAGUGUGUACUUUCGGGAUUUGGACCAGCUGGGGCUUGAAGUUUGGGUUUCUGGCUUUUUGAAGCCCAGCCCGCCAUAUAAUCAGGUUUAAGUGCACCCCCGCCCCCCACGCGUGCUUUUGGCCGGCCCAUAUGCGGGGUGAGCCGGGCUUAUUAUUAUUAUUUUUGCUUUUGUACUUUCGUUCUUUCUCAAUUGCAAGAAAUGUUCAUAAAAUAAGCAUAUGUUUGCACAUUUCUCAAAGUGCUUCAAAUUUUCAAAAUAUUAUAUGAUUUAAAUUCUUCAUAAAUUGAAAAUUUUCUUGAAUUUCAGAAAAUGUUCAUGAAUUGUAAAAUUGUUCCCCUAGUUCACAAAUUAUUCAUGUAUUUGAAAGUCCAUGGAUUCGAAAAUUGCUCGCGAAUUUGAGAAUGGAAUAAUAGAGUGAGUAUAGCAAUUGAUAUCUAUAGAUACUUUGCGAGGUUUAUAUCAUUAAAUUUAGAAAUGAUGUCAUUAUCACGACAUGUAUUGGAUGUCCUUUUUUCACUAGUUAAUAUCCAUAAAAUAUCAUGUUAGAUGACCGAUUUUUCAUAAUAUAACAUUUAUUGUGAAUCAAAAACCAGAAAGCAAGAAUCCUGCAAAGAAAAUGUAACACAUAAUCCUAGAGAGCGCCUUACACAUCUCAUUUCUAAGUGUGUUUACUUAUAAUUUGGUAAACAUAAGUCCAAGCAAAUCAAAGAAAAUCAAAGUACAGAGAAUACCUACAUACCAUGGCCCAUUGACCGGUCCACACAAUUGACUGCUUUAAUGUGACCCAUCAAAGACACUCAGAGCUUCAAAGGUGAACUGUUCUUUGAUCCAGGCUUUGGUUGGCACCGUAAAGAAUGCAAAAUAACAGCUCAAAUAUUUGUAUCAGCAAAAGAUCAAACAACUGAAAUAAGAAGCACAGAGCACAUGAGCAAGGAACAUAAAUGUUGUUAAUAAAACAAGAAAAAAACUAAGAUACACUUGUGUCACUCGCAACUCACUAACUCAUCACAAAUUCUUCAUACGAGCAAAAUAACACUACUAGGGACAAAGCAGGGCUUCGAUUUUCUUGCACAACAGCUAACAGUUAGAGUUUUUAAUUCAUGUUUACCCAAUAAUUCUCCACAAUUCCUCACAUAGUUUCUAGUUCAACCAUUACUGGUAUGUAAAUAGACAAGAUUAGAUCGAUACUAAAAUUUGCAUUACGCUAUCGACGAAUGACGGCUCAAUUUUAUCUCCACAUAGAUGACACAAGAAUCUCAUUUGAGCAGUUGGUCACAAUGCAUACUAGCAUACUAAUGUUUCCAAUCGAACCGCAGCCAGAAACUUAGAACGACUUAUCCAACUUCUACCACCAAAUCAAAUUCAUAAUAUGAUGUUGCCUCCACGUUCCACGAUCCCGGUAGGUACAUCCAUGCACUUUCCACAUGCGAGAUGCGAUGAAGAUGUGAGAUGUGGCCAAAGAUUUGGGAUGUUGUAAACAUAUCUACGAGAUAUUUUUUUCUCUAUGUAUACCUAAUAGUUUACUAGAAGCCGCUAUCAGGAUAUUUCUGACUUUAAAAGACACACACACACAGAGAGAGAGAGAUAUACGUAUAUACUAUGGUCAUGUGAGUGUCACAAAUUAAUCCAUGAAACAUGCAAUUUUAUGUAGUCUAUUUUCUUAUGGUUAGAGGGGUUAAGUUUAAGUAUUAUUUUAUGGUGCAAUCUAUUGAAUAGAAAGAAACUAAUCAAAUUUAGCGUAGGGCGUGCAUAUAUUUUAAUGACACACAUUACAACCUAGCAGAAAAUAAUAUUAUUUAUAUUGAGCAUAAUUAUCGUAAGUAAAUAUAAAAAAGAAGUAACCGCUCGCAGUUAAUAGUGAGUUUUAAACAUGUAUAAAAGUUUAAUAUAAAUAUUCAAUUUAAUUAGACUCGAUUUCUUGUCACCGCCCUAGAUUCAUGUUUGUAAUUAGUGGCAUUGCAUCCAUGCAUCAUGUCUAAUUUUAUCAGAAAUUUGAAUUGAGGGAAUUUUCAAAACCUCAGAAACAUUUUAGAAAUUAUCAACACUAAAAUCUUCUCAAAUAAGUCCAAGAAAAUGUUCCUGUUAUUUUAUGAAAAUAUUGGAAAGAGGUAAAAUUAAAACCAGUGUUUUUGGAUUGUCAGAAAUAUUUAUUUUGGGAAUUUGAGUUAAUCUAAUAAUUAUUUGCAUUAGACUUAUAUUUAUUAUAUAUUAAAUAUUGGUCCAAAAAAUUUGAAAGUUUGUAUGAGGCUCUGGACUAGUUCCCUAAGUCCACAUAUUGAAUUUCAGAAGUUUAUAAAGUGAUUUGGUAGUUAAACCAAAUCAAACAAACAGAACAAAAUGGAAAACAAAAACAGAAAGGGAAGAACAGAGAGAGAGAGAGAGAGUUUACCUGGCAGCCCACUUACCCGGCCCAACUCCUCUAGCCGGCCCAGCCUACCUGGCUCUGCCAGUCGUCCUCUACCUCGUGCCAGAGGGCACGAGGGCGUGUGGCCGCCGCCCACGCGUACGCACCGCGCCACCUCCUGCUUGCCGCUUCGCUCUGGCCCUCUCUGGACGUCGACACGUAGCCCCCUGGUCCUCUCCCUCGCUCCCCUCGUCCUUCCCCUCCUCUGGAUCCCUCUCUCUCUCUCACCACCGAGCGGGGCUCAUCGCCACCGACGCCGUUCACCGUAGCCACCGCCUCCUCCUGAACCUCUCUCCGCGCCCAGAAGCUCCGCCACUUCGUCCUCGACCCCCUCGCUGAGCCACGCAACGCCGGACGCCCUGAAGCCUCGCCAACACCGUCGUUCCCCUCGUCGGUCACCGCGGAUCCUCGCCGUUGAUUCAGGAGCUACAGGACCUCCCCGAGCACUCUGAGCUUCUCUACAAGUCCUCCGUGAGCCCCUCUUUCCCCUACCCUAACCUCGUUGCUUCGCUCGACCUCUAGCUAGCGCUGCCGCCAUGGCCGAGCUCCGCCGCCGCCUGCCUUGUCAUGCGCCACCAUUGCAGCCCGCGCCCGUCGUUGGAGAGCAUGGCAACGAGCUCGUCGUGCCUCCAGGAGGCCGGCUAUCCCUUUUGCUAGCUCGCCCGUGCCCCGUAGCACCGCUGCCCGCUUGCGCCCGAACUCCGGCCGCCGCCCAAGUGGUCGCCGCCGUCGACCCCGGCCUCCCUGCGCCUAGCUGCAUGCACCCCUGGAUGCGGGCGAGCGAGGGCUUCCUCAUGGUGCCCUGCUACCUCUUGAGCACUGCGUUGGUUUUCCCUAGAAAAGGAAAGGGUGAUGCAGCAAAGUGGCGUAAGUAUUUCCCUCAGUUUUUGAAAACCAAGGUAUCAAUCCAGUAGGAGGCUACACACGAGUCCCUCGCACCUACACAAACGAAUAAAUCCUCGCAACCAACAUGAUAAGGGGUUGUCAAUCCCUACACGGUCACUUACGAGAGUGAGAUCUGAUAGAUAUGAUAAGAUAAUAUUUUUGGUAUUUUUGUGAUAAAGAUGCAAAGUAAAGAAAGUAAAAUAAAAACGGCGCUAGAAAUAGCUAAGUGUUGGAAGAUUAAUAUGAUGGAAAAUAGACCCGGGGGCCAUAGGUUUCACUAGUGGCUUCUCUCGAGAGCAUAAGUAUUUACGGUGGGUGAACAAAUUACUGUUGAGCAAUUGACAGAAUUGAGCAUAGUUGUGAGAAUAUCUAGGCAUGAUCAUGUAUAUAGGCAUGACGUCCGAAACAAGUAGACCGACUCCUGCCUGCAUCUACUACUAUUACUCCACACAUCGACCGCUAUCCAGCAUGCGUCUAGAGUAUUAAGUUCAUAAGAACAGAGUAACGCUUUAAGCAAGAUGACAUGAUGUAGAGGGAUAAACUCAUGCAAUAUGAUAUAAACCCCAUCUUGUUAUCCUCGAUGGCAACAAUACAUUACGUGCCUUGCUGCCCCCACUGUCACUGGAAAAGGACACCGCAAGAUUGAACCCAAAGCUAAGCACUUCUCCCAUUGCAAGAAAGAUCAAUCUAGUAGGCCAACCCAAACUGAUAAUUCGAAGAGACUUGCAAAGAUAACCAAUCAUACAUAAAAGAAUUCAGAAGAUUCAAAUAUUGUUCAUAGAUAAGCUUGAUCAUAAACCCACAAUUCAUCGGUCUCCACAAACACAUCACAAAAGAAGAUUACAUCGAAUAGAUCUCCACAAGAGAGGGGGAGAACAUUGUAUUGAGAUCGAAAAAGAGAGAAGAAGCCAUCUAGCUAAUAACUAUGGACCCGAAGGUCUGAGGUAAACUACUCACACUUCAUCGGAGAGCCUAUGGUGUUGAUGUAGAAGCCCUCCGUCAUCGAUGCCCCCUCCGGCGGAGCUCCGAAACAGGCCCCAAGAUGGGAUCUCACGAAUACAGAAGGUUGCGGCGGUGAAAUUAGGUUUUUAGCUGCGUAUCUGAUCGUUUGGGGGUACGUAGCUAUAUAUAGGAGGAAGGAGUACGUCGGUGGAGCAACGUGGGGCCCACGAGGGUGGAGGGCGCGCCCAGGGGGUAGGAGCGCCCCCUACCUCGUGGCUUCCUGGUAGCUUUCUUGACGUAGGGUCCAAGUCAUCUGGAUCAUGUUUGUUCCGAAAAUCACGUUUCCGAAGGUUUCAUUCCGUUUGGACGCCGUUUGAUAUCCUGCGAAACUCUGAAAUAGGCAAAAACAGCAAUUCUGGGCUGGGCCUCCGGUUAAUAGGUUAGUCCCAAAAAUAAUAUAAAAGUGCAUAAUAAAGCCCAAUAAUGUCCAAAACAGAAGAUAAUAUAGCAUGGAGCAAUCAAAAAUUAUAGAUACGUUGGAGACGUAUCAAGCAUCCCCAAGCUUAAUUCCUGCUCGUCCUCGAGUAGGUAAAUGAUAAAAACAGAAUUUUUGAUGUGGAAUGCUACUUGGCAUAAUUUCAAUGUAAUUUUUAUUAAUUGUGGUAUGAAUAUUCAGAUCCGAAAGAUUCAAGAUAAAAGUUCAAUAUUGACAUAAAAAUAAUAAUACUUCAAGCAUACUAACUAAGCAAUUAUGUCCGCAGCAUCGCCGGAGUGCGCGUCCAUGACCCUGUGCGGGCCGAUCAAGAAGCACAUCAUUGAGCACUUCCACCACAAGAAGCCCGUGCCGCCUAAGCCGGAGCUCAAGCCCCAGCCCCACCCGGACUACGGGCCCGUGCCCAAGCCGGAGCCGAAGCCGCAGCCCCACCCGGACUACCACCCCCCUCCCACGCCCACCUACGGCGGCGGUGGCGGCGGCGGUGGAUACCACAGGCACCACUGAGUCAGGUCUACCCCCGUCCUGCCCAGCGAUGAAAUCUCAUCAUCAGCGGGUUGGUGAUCAGUGAGUGGUCGACGGUGCUAAUUAUGAUUGGUUUGCAUGCGUGAGUAUCGUUAGGUCUUCUGCCAUUCCCGCGAAGCCCCGUUUAUUAUCUGCACUGUAGAGUUGGGAGUUCAGAAUAACAGAUGUGCGUGUGUGUGUCGCUGUGUCAGGCAAGUGUGAGGGUGUGUUGGCGUGUUGCUUUAUCAAGAUUUUGUAAUUUCAGUGUGUGUUUUGUAUAAGAAGUUAUUAUGAAUCAAGUAAUUUAAACAAGUCGAUUUGUCAACCGAACAACUGCAGCUGUUCGAGACGAUUGGCAUGAUAAGGAUAGUGUGAUUUUACUUCAACUCAAUUUUCAGAUCCGUGAACUGAAACUGAAGUGAAAUUCAGGCGUGUGCAAUGCAUUCAUACUGCUGGUCAUAGUUUUUUCUCUUACGAUGAACAAGUCGAUUUAUGAACAUUUUUCCUAGAUAAGUGAGGCUUUUAAAAAAUGUUCAUCAUGUGUUCAAAACAAUGAUAACCGUAAAUUUAAAGCAAAAUUGUUCGCCGUGUAUCUUAAAAAUGUUCAUCAUGAAUUUAAAAGGUUUGCCACUAAUUUUAAAAAGUUCAUCAUGUAUUUAUAUCACUAAUUUAGUUAUCUAAACGCUCUUAUAUUAGUUUACAGAGGGAGUAUUUAAAAGUUGUCAUCACGUAAUUAAAAAAAGGUUAAUUGUGCAUUAAUGAAAAUUUUCACCAUGUUUCAGAAAUGUUCAUCACGUAUUAAACUUAACCAUGUAUUUUUAAAAGUAAAAAAUGCUCAUUGUGUAUUUAAAACAUAUAAAGAUAUUUUUUUGUAAAUGAACUAAAAAUAUUCACCAUGAAUUGUUCAAAAAAUUCACCUUGUAUUAUUCAAAAACGCUCAGACACAAAGGACAAAUGUUCAUACACGGUGUGGGGAAAAGGAGAAAAUGCAUAGAGUAAAAGAACAACAAAACAGGAAAAAUGGACAAUGAAAAAAAAAGGAAAGAAUGAAGAAUCCAACUAAGAAAAAAAACAGUUCAGAAGCCAAACACAAAAACCACGCAAAAAGACGCAGCAGGAACCAGCGAACGAAACAACACCCCUAGCUGGCCUGCCCAAGUCACCUUGCUUGUGACUGUCUUCGCAUCCAUUUGACGUGUGUGCGUAUUUGCCGGAGACCUCCUAUUCCCUGACCUACGCGGGGAAAAGUGAGGAAACAUGCACCUAAACCUGUGGGUAGCCCGACCCGAGCCUGGCCCGAAAAAUCCAGGCCACGCUGGUGCCUUGUUUUGCAGCCCAAUGUACAUUUCGCCUAGGCUCGGGCUUUUGUAACAAUACUGAGAAAUAGUAUUUGGUUGGGCUUUCAAUAUUCAGGUCGGGCUUACAACUAACAACAUUGAUAAACACCAUUCGAGCUAGACUUUCGGGCUUGGGGCCUAUAUUUGGCUGAGGCUCGAGCUUGAGAAAGUGUGUACUUUCGGGAUUUGGACCAGCUGGGGCUUGAAGUUUGGGUUUCUGGCUUUUUGAAGCCCAGCCCGCCAUAUAAUCAGGUUUAAGUGCACCCCCGCCCCCCAUGCGUGCUUUUGGCCGGCCCAUAUGCGGGGUGAGCCGGGCUUAUUAUUAUUAUUUUUGCUUUUGUACUUUCAUUCUUUCUCAAUUGCAAGAAAUGUUCAUAAAAUAAUCAUAUGUUUGCACAUUUCUCAAAGUGCUUCAAAUUUUCAAAAUAUUAUAUGAUUUAAAUUCUUCAUAAAUUGAAAAUUUUCUUGAAUUUCAGAAAAUGUUCAUGAAUAGUAAAAUUGUUCCCCUAGUUCACAAAUUAUUCAUGUAUUUGAAAGUCCAUGGAUUCGAAAAUUGCUCGCGAAUUUGAGAAUGGAAUAAUAGAGUGAGUAUAGCAAUUGAUAUCUAUAGAUACUUUGCGAGGUUUAUAUCAUUAAAUUUAGAAAUGAUGUCAUUAUCACGACAUGUAUUGGAUGUCCUUUUUUCACUAGUUAAUAUCCAUAAAAUAUCAUGUUAGAUGACCGAUUUUUCAUAAUAUAACAUUUAUUGUGAAUCAAAAACCAGAAAGCAAGAAUCCUGCAAAGAAAAUGUAACACAUAAUCCUAGAGAGCGCCUUACACAUCUCAUUUCUAAGUGUGUUUACUUAUAAUUUGGUAAACAUAAGUCCAAGCAAAUCAAAGAAAAUCAAAGUACAGAGAAUACCUACAUACCAUGGCCCAUUGACCGGUCCACACAAUUGACUGCUUUAAUGUGACCCAUCAAAGACACUCAGAGCUUCAAAGGUGAACUGUUCUUUGAUCCAGGCUUUGGUUGGCACCGUAAAGAAUGCAAAAUAACAGCUCAAAUAUUUGUAUCAGCAAAAGAUCAAACAACUGAAAUAAGAAGCACAGAGCACAUGAGCAAGGAACAUAAAUGUUGUUAAUAAAACAAGAAAAAAACUAAGAUACGCUUGUGUCACUCGCAACUCACUAACUCAUCACAAAUUCUUCAUACGAGCAAAAUAACACUACUAGGGACAAAGCAGGGCUUCGAUUUUCUUGCACAACAGCUAACAGUUAGAGCUUUUAAUUCAUGUUUACCCAAUAAUUCUCCACAAUUCCUCACAUAGUUUCUAGUUCAACCAUUACUGGUAUGUAAAUAGACAAGAUUAGAUCGAUACUAAAAUUUGCAUUACGCUAUCGACGAAUGACGGCUCAAUUUUAUCUCCACAUAGAUGACACAAGAAUCUCAUUUGAGCAGUUGGUCACAAUGCAUACUAGCAUACUAAUGUUUCCAAUCGAACCGCAGCCAGAAACUUAGAACGACUUAUCCAACUUCUACCACCAAAUCAAAUUCAUAUUAUGAUGUUGCCUCCACGUUCCACGAUCCCGGUAGGUACAUCCAUGCACUUUCCACAUGCGAGAUGCGAUGAAGAUGUGAGAUGUGGCCAAAGAUUUGGGAUGUUGUAAACAUAUGUACGAGAUAUUUUUUUUCUCUAUGUAUACCUAAUAGUUUACUAGAAGCCGCUAUCAGGAUAUUUCUGACUUUUAAAGACACACACACACAGAGAGAUAUACGUAUAUACUAUGGUCAUGUGAGUGUCACAAAUUAAUCCAUGAAACAUGCAAUUUUAUGUAGUCUAUUUUCUUAUGGUUAGAGGGGUUAAGUUUAAGUAUUAUUUUAUGGUGCAAUCUAUUGAAUAGAAAGAAACUAAUCAAAUUUAGCGUAGGGCGUGCACAUAUUUUAAUGACACACAUUACAACCUAGCAGAAAAUACUAUUAUUUAUAUUGAGCAUAAUUAUCGUAAGUAAAUAUAAAAAAGAAGUAACCGCUUGCAGUUAAUAGUGAGUUUUAAACAUGUAUAAAAGUUUAAUAUAAAUAUUCAAUUUAAUUAGACUCGAUUUCUUGUCACCGCCCUAGAUUCAUGUUUGUAAUUAGUGGCAUUGCAUCCAUGCAUCAUGUCUAAUUUUAUCAGAAAUUUGAAUUGAGGGAAUUUUCAAAACCUCAGAAACAUUUUAGAAAUUAUCAACACUAAAAUCUUCUCAAAUAAGUCCAAGAAAAUGUUCCUGUUAUUUUAUGAAAAUAUUGGAAAGAGGUAAAAUUAAAACCAGUAUUUUUGGAUUGUCAGAAAUAUUUAUUUUGGGAAUUUGAGUUAAUCUAAUAAUUAUUUGCAUUAGACUUAUAUUUAUUAUAUAUUAAAUAUUGGUCCAAAAAAUUUGAAAGUUUGUAUGUGGCUCUGGACUAGUUCCCUAAGUCCACAUAUUGAAUUUCAGAAGUUUAUAAAGUGAUUUGGUAGUUAAACCAAAUCAAACAAACAGAACAAAAUGGAAAACAAAAACAGAAAGGGAAGAACAGAGAGAGAGAGAGAGAGUUUACCUGGCAGCCCACUUACCCGGCCCAACUCCUCUAGCCGGCCCAGCCUACCUGGCUCUGCCAGUCGUCCUCUACCUCGUGCCAGAGGGCACGAGGGCGUGUGGCCGCCGCCCACGCGUACGCACCGCGCCACCUCUUGCUUGCCGCUUCGCUCUGGCCCUCUCCGGACGUCGACACGUAGCCCCCUGGUCCUCUCCCUCGCUUCCCUCGUCCUUCCCCACCUCUGGAUCCCUCUCUCUCUCUCACCACCGAGCGGGGCUCGUCGCCACCGACGCCGUUCACCGUAGCCACCGUCUCCUCCUGAACCUCUCUCCGCGCCCAGAAGCUCCGCCACUUCGUCCUCGACCCCCUCGCUGAGCCACGCAACGCCGGACGCCCUGAAGCCUCGCCAACACCGUCGUUCCCCUCGUCGGUCGCCGCGGAUCCUCGCCGUUGAUUCAGGAGCUACAGGACCUCCCCGAGCACUCUGAGCUUCUCUACAAGUCCUCCGUGAGCCCCUCUUUCCCCUACCCUAACCUCGUUGCUUCGCUCGACCUCUAGCUAGCGCUGCCGCCAUGGCCGAGCUCCGCCGCCGCCUGCCUUGUCAUGCGCCACCAUUGCAGCCCGCGCCCGUCGUUGGAGAGCAUGGCAACGAGCUCGUCGUGCCUCCAGGAGGCCGGCUAUCCCUUUUGCUAGCUCGCCCGUGCCCCGUAGCACCGCUGCCCGCUUGCGCCCGAACUCCGGCCGCCGCCCAAGUGGUCACCGCCGUCGACCCCGGCCUCCUGCGCCCAGCUGCAUGCACCCCCUGGAUGCGGGCGAGCGAGGGCUUCCUCAUGGUGCCCUGCUACCUCUUGAGCACUGCGUUGGUUUUCCCUAGAAGAGGAAAGGGUGAUGCAGCAAAGUGGCGUAAGUAUUUCCCUCAGUUUUUGAGAACCAAGGUAUCAAUCCAAUAGGAGGCUACACACGAGUCCCUCGCACCUACACAAACGAAUAAAUCCUCGCAACCAACAUGAUAAGGGGUUGUCAAUCCCUACACGGUCACUUACGAGAGUGAGAUCUGAUAGAUAUGAUAAGAUAAUAUUUUUGGUAUUUUUGUGAUAAAGAUGCAAAGUAAAGAAAGUAAAAUAAAAACGGCGCUAGAAAUAGCUAAGUGUUGGAAGAUUAAUAUGAUGGAAAAUAGACCCGGGGGCCAUAGGUUUCACUAGUGGCUUCUCUCGAGAGCAUAAGUAUUUACGGUGGGUGAACAAAUUACUGUUGAGCAAUUGACAGAAUUGAGCAUAGUUAUGAGAAUAUCUAGGCAUGAUCAUGUAUAUAGGCAUGACGUCCGAAACAAGUAGACCGACUCCUGCCUGCAUCUACUACUAUUACUCCACACAUCGACCGCUAUCCAGCAUGCGUCUAGAGUAUUAAGUUCAUAAGAACAGAGUAACGCUUUAAGCAAGAUGACAUGAUGUAGAGGGAUAAACUCAUGCAAUAUGAUAUAAACCCCAUCUUGUUAUCCUCGAUGGCAACAAUACAUUACGUGCCUUGCUGCCCCCACUGUCACUGGAAAAGGACACCGCAAGAUUGAACCCAAAGCUAAGCACUUCUCCCAUUGCAAGAAAGAUCAAUCUAGUAGGCCAACCCAAACUGAUAAUUCGAAGAGACAUGCAAAGAUAACCAAUCAUACAUAAAAGAAUUCAGAAGAUUCAAAUAUUGUUCAUAGAUAAGCUUGAUCAUAAACCCACAAUUCAUCGGUCUCCACAAACACAUCACAAAAGAAGAUUACAUCGAAUAGAUCUCCACAAGAGAGGGGGAGAACAUUGUAUUGAGAUCGAAAAAGAGAGAAGAAGCCAUCUAGCUAAUAACUAUGGACCCGAAGGUCUGAGGUAAACUACUCACACUUCAUCGGAGAGCCUAUGGUGUUGAUGUAGAAGCCCUCCGUGAUCGAUGCCCCCUCCGGCGGAGCUCCGAAACAGGCCCCAAGAUGGGAUCUCACGAAUACAGAAGGUUGCGGCGGUGAAAUUAGGUUUUUAGCUACGUAUCUGAUCGUUUGGGGGUACGUAGCUAUAUAUAGGAGGAAGGAGUACGUCGGUGGAGCAACGUGGGGCCCACGAGGGUGGAGGGCGCGCCCAGGGGGUAGGAGCGCCCCCUACCUCGUGGCUUCCUGGUAGCUUUCUUGACGUAGGGUCCAAGUCAUCUGGAUCAUGUUUGUUCCGAAAAUCAUGUUUCCGAAGGUUCAUUCCGUUUGGACGCCGUUUGAUAUCCUGCGAAACUCUGAAAUAGGCAAAAAACAGCAAUUCUGGGCUGGGCCUCCGGUUAAUAGGUUAGUCCCAAAAAAUAAUAUAAAAGUGCAUAAUAAAGCCCAAUAAUGUCCAAAACAGAAGAUAAUAUAGCAUGGAGCAAUCAAAAAUUAUAGAUACGUUGGAGACGUAUCAAGCAUCCCCAAGCUUAAUUCCUGCUCGUCCUCGAGUAGGUAAAUGAUAAAAACAGAAUUUUUGAUGUGGAAUGCUACUUGGCAUAAUUUCAGUGUAAUUUUUAUUAAUUGUGGUAUGAAUAUUUAGAUCCGAAAGAUUCAAGAUAAAAGUUCAAUAUUGACAUAAAAAUAAUAAUACUUCAAGCAUACUAACUAAGCAAUUAUGUCCGCAGCAUCGCCGGAGUGCGCGUCCAUGACCCUGUGCGGGCCGAUCAAGAAGCACAUCAUUGAGCACUUCCACCACAAGAAGCCCGUGCCGCCUAAGCCGGAGCUCAAGCCCCAGCCCCACCCGGACUACGGCCCCGUGCCCAAGCCGGAGCCGAAGCCGCAGCCCCACCCAGACUACCACCCCGUCCCUCCCACGCCCACCUACGGUAGCGGUGGCGGCGGUGGUGGAUACCACGGGCACCACUGAGUCAGUUCUACCCCCGUCCUGCCCAGCGAUGAAAUCUCAUCAUCAGCGGGUUGGUGAUCAGUGAGUGGUGGACGGUGCUAAUUAUGAUUGGUUUGCAUGCGUGGGUAUCGUUAGGUCUUCUGCCAUUCCCGCGAAGCCCCGUUUAUUAUCUGCACUGCAGAGUUGGGAGUUCAGAAUAACAGAUGUGCGUGUGUGUGUCGCUGUGUCAGGCGAGUGUGAGGGUGUGUUGGUGUGUUGCUUUAUCAAGAUUUUGUAAUUUCAGUGUGUGUUUUGUAUAAGAAGUUAUUAUGAAUCAAGUAAUUUAACCAAGUCGAUUUGUCAGCCGAACAACUGCAGCUGUUCGAGACGAUUGGCAUGAUAAAGAUAGUGUGAUUUUACUUCAACUCAAUUUUCAGAUCCGUGAACUGAAACUGAAG